AUUGAACGCUGGCGGCAGGCCUAACACAUGCAAGUCGAACGAGUGGCGGACGGGUGAGUAAUGUCUGGGAAACUGCCCGAUGGAGGGGGAUAACUACUGGAAACGGUAGCUAAUACCGCAUACCAUCGGAUGUGCCCGGAUGGGAUUAGCUAGUGGGUGGGGUAACGGCUAACCAAGGCGACGAUCCCUAGCUGGUCUGAGAGGAGGACCAGCGACACUGGAACUGAGACACGGUCCAGACUCCUACGGGAGGCAGCAGGGGGGAAUAUUGCACAAUGGGCGCUAGCCUGAUGAAGCCAUGCCGCGUGUAUGAAGAAGGCCUUAGGGUUGUAAAGUACUUUCAGCGGGGAGGCGUUACCCGCAGAAGAAGCACCGGCUAACUCCGUGCCAGCAGCCGCGGUAAUAC
rnacentral:rRNA from 1 species